rnacentral:rRNA from 1 species
GCGGCCGCGGGAAUUCGAUUCGUAUUACCGCGGCUGCUGGCACGUAGUUAGCCGGUGCUUCUUAUCAAGGUACCGUCAGCCUCACUCUUUAUUAGAAAGUAAGUUUUCUUCCCUUGCGAAUGAGCUUUACAACCCGAAGGCCUUCUUCACUCACGCGGAAUGGCUGGAUCAGGCUUGCGCCCAUUGUCCAAAAUUCCCCACUGCUGCCUCCCGUAGGAGUCUGGACCGUGUCUCAGUUCCAGUGUGGCUGGUCAUCCUCUCAGACCAGCUAGGGAUCGUCGCCUAGGUGAGCCAUUACCCCACCUACUAGCUAAUCCCAUCUGGGUUCAUCCGAUGGCGUGAGGCCCGAAGGUCCCCCACUUUACUCCAAAGAGGUUAUGCGGUAUUAGCCACCGUUUCCAGUGGUUAUCCCCCUCCAUCGGGCAGAUCCCCAGACAUUACUCACCCGUCCGCCGCUCGCCGGCGGGGAAGCAAGCUUCCCCCCGCUGCCGCUCGACUUGCAUGUGUUAGGCCUGCCGCCAGCGUUCAAUCUGAGCCAUGAUCAAACUCUAAUCACUAGUGAAUUCGCGGCCGCCUGCAGGUCGACCAUAUGGGAGAGCUCCCAACGCGU